rnacentral:rRNA from 1 species
UACGUAGGGGGCAAGCGUUGUCCGGAAUCAUUGGGCGUAAAGCGCGUGUAGGCGGCUCGAUAAGUCCGCUCUGAAAGCCCGGGGCUCAACCCCGGGGAGGCGGGUGGAUACUGUCGAGCUCGAGUCCGGAAGAGGAGUGUGGAAUUCCUGGUGUAGCGGUGAAAUGCGCAGAUAUCAGGAGGAACACCCGUGGCGAAAGCGGCUCUCUGGGACGGUACUGACGCUGAGACGCGAAAGCGUGGGGAGCGAACAGG